CAAUACCUAGUGGCAGACGGGUGAGUAACACGUGGUCAACCUUCCCUUUAGUGGGGGAUAACUAGCCGAAAGGUUAGCUAAUACCGCAUACCAUCUAAACCCGGCAUCGGGAGUAGAUAAAAGGAGCAAUCCGCUUAAGGACGGGACCGCGUCCCAUUAGUUAGUUGGUGGGGUAACGGCCUACCAAGACUCCGAUGGGUAGCUGGUUUGAGAGAGCGACCAGCCACACUGGGACUGAGAAACGGCCCAG
rnacentral:rRNA from 1 species